GGUACAUGUGCCAGCCCCCGAGGAAACUGAUGGUAACCAAUUGUCUAUAUGCUUUUGUUAGUGCCUCUUUCCUGCUGUGCUGGACUACGUAAUUACUGGAGCCCUUACAAACGCUGAUUGUCAAUGUGUUGCUGUAACUCAGCCUCCAGGGAAAUGAACUCAAGUCUGGCUGUCUUUCUGGAGAAGUUCAGAUGUAUUCUCAGUUUGGUGAAGUGACACUAGCUCCACUUUCAUCUACAGACAUGAUAUCAUCUACAGGGUGUACCCAGCGCCAAACUACUGCAUUCUUUUGACCAAAACAGUGGUUUUGUGCAGCCUUACAGAUGCAGGCUGAAUAGCUUCAGAGUUGGCCUGCAUCUUCACAAACAGGGCCUGGCUCAAGAUUAAUUUCCUCCAAGACUCCCUCUUUCACGAAUUUACCUCACUCAGCCAUUCCCUUCUACCGCAUCUGCUGAUUACUCAUCUGAUGCUCUUUGUUCUGUUCUGCCAUGCACUGUUAUGUUU